AAGUAUUCGAGUUGCUCGUUUCGAAAAGGAACGUACUCGUGUCGCUUUUUAUCCCUUCUUCCUUUUCUCCUGUAACUCCCAAUCGAUUUGAAGAAUCAAAUUCCCCAGGAAAUUUCUUGCUUUUCUGAGAAAAUAGAAGGGAAAAGAGAGAGAUGGGUCUGCUCUCCAACAGAGUGGAUAAGGGGUGCCUGAAGCCUGGGGAUCACAUCUACUCUUGGAGGACUGCCUAUAUCUAUGCGCAUCAUGGCAUCUAUGUAGGGGAUGACACAGUCGUUCAUUUCACCAGGCGUGGGCAAGAAGUAGGAACAGGGACAAUGCUGGAUGCACUCUUGGUUAGCUCAGGGCCAGCCCGACCUCAACAGCCCUGCCAAGUUUGCACUCCACGGGAAGAGGGAAGUGGGGUUCUCUCCUCGUGCCUGAACUGCUUUCUUGCAGGGGGUGUCUUGUAUCGUUUUGAAUAUGCUGUCAACCCUGCUCUCUUUAUUGCAAAAGCACGUGGGGGAACCUGCACUCUUGCAGUCUCGGAUCCAGAUGAUGUCGUCGUCCAUCGAGCAAAAUACUUGCUCGACAAUGGCUUUGGUUGUUAUAACAUAUUCAACAAAAAUUGUGAAGACUUUGCUGCAAAAUUUACUGCAAAACGGGGCUUCUUGUUCUGGAUCAAGGAAUAAUUGGCCAAAGCGGACAAACAGUUUCUAUAAUAGGGGGACCUCUUGCAGCCGUUUUAUCCACACCAUUGCGUCUUGUUACCACCAAUGUUUAUGGGAUGGCGGCAACAGCCAUUACAAUGUACUGCGCUAGCAGGUACGCUGCGGAUAUUGGCAUGAGGAGGGAUGUAGUGAAGGUGUCUGUGGAGGAUAUGACAAGCAAAUUGGCAACUGGCUUGCUCCGGGUGGCGGAGGCCCAAAUUGUAUUGGCCCCUAUAAUAGGUUCUUCCAACCUUGUCACUCAAUAGUUCUUUGGCAAAGGUUUUUAUUGAAUUAAGUACUUAUGCAUCUGCUAUUUAAGGUGGUCCAUGGUCUACUCACUACUGUGAUUGAACUUUGUUGUUAUGUGUGGUUGUGUCUGAAAUCUAGUACUAUCAUAAAAGAGAACAUCUGUUAUUUUCUUUAAGAGCAUUCAUGUUCACCAUGAUAUAUGGAUUUGAAGGACAAACAUUAAUUCAUUUUAUUUUGUAUGCUA